CCUACGGGAGGCAGCAGUGAGGAAUAUUGGUCAAUGGGCGGGAGCCUGAACCAGCCAAGCCGCGUGAGGGAAGAAUGUACAGCGUAUCGUAAACCUCUUUUGUCAGGGAACAAAGGCGGGGACUAGUCCCCGGAUGAGGGUACCUUAAGAAAAAGCAUCGGCUAACUCCGUGCCAGCAUCCGCGGUAAUACGGAGGAUGCGAGCGUUCUCCGGAUUUAUUGGGUUUAAGGGGUGCGCAGGGGGCCUGUUAAGUCAGCGGUAAAAGCCCGGGGCUCAACCCCGGCAAGCCGUUGAAACUGGCGGGCUGGAGUUGGAGAGAAGUACGCGGAAUGCGCGGUGUAGCGGUGAAAUGCUUAGAUAUCGCGAAGAACCCCGAUUGCGAAGGCAGCGUACC
rnacentral:rRNA from 1 species